AGCGAACGCUGGCGGCAUGCUUAACCCAUGCAAGUCGCACGGGCAUUUCGGUGUCAGUGGCGGACGGGUGAGUAUCGCGUAGGGAUUUGUCGUUGGGGUGGGGAUAACCUUGGGAAACUGGGGCUAAUACCGCAUGACGCCUGUGGGCCAAAGCCGUAAGGCGCCUGAUGAGAAGCCUGCGUCCGAUUAGUUAGUUGGUGGGGUAAAGGCUUACCAAGGCAGCGAUCGGUAGCUGGCUGAGAGGAUGAUCAGCCACACUGGGACUGAGACACGGCCCAGACUCCUACGGGAGGCAGCAGUGGGGAAUAUUGGACAAUGGCGAAAGCCUGAUCCAGCCAUGCCGCGUGAGUGAUGAAGGCCCUAGGGUUGUAAAGCUCUUUUGUGCGGGAAGAUAAUGACGGUACCGCAAGAAUAA
rnacentral:rRNA from 1 species